rnacentral:rRNA from 1 species
UACAGAGGUGGCAAGCGUUGUUCGGAAUUACUGGGCGUAAAGGGCGCGUAGGCGGCCAUCUAAGUCAGACGUGAAAUCCCCCGGCUUAACCUGGGAACUGCGUCUGAUACUGGACGGCUUGAGUAUGGGAGAGGGAUGUAGAAUUCCAGGUGUAGCGGUGAAAUGCGUAGAUAUCUGGAGGAAUACCGGUGGCGAAGGCGGCAUCCUGGACCAUUACUGACGCUGAUGCGCGAAAGCCAGGGGAGCAAACGGG